rfam:Brachypodium distachyon strain Bd21 chromosome 1, whole genome shotgun sequence.
GUCAUACUUCCUCCGUCCAACAAAACAUGUCUCAAGUUUGUCAAAAUUUGGAUGUAUCUAGACAUGACUUAGUACAUAGAUGCAUUCAAAUUUGAUCAAAGUUGAUCAAAGUUGAAACAUCUUUUGUUGGACGGAGGGGGUAUGUU